rnacentral:rRNA from 1 species
AAUCAACGCUGGCGGCGUGCCUCAGACAUGCAAGUCGAACGCGAAAGCCCCCUUCGGGGGCGAAGUAGAGUGGCGCACGGGUGAGUAACACGUAGGUAAUCUACCUUUGGAUGGGGAAUAACAACCGGAAACGGUUGCUAAUACCGCAUAAUGCAGCGGCACCUAAUGGUGACAGUUGUUAAAGCGGGGGAUCGAAAGACCUCGCGUCUGAAGAGGAGCCUGCGGCGGAUUAGCAGUUGGUAAGGUAACGGCUUACCAAGGCGACGAUCCGUAGUCGGCCUGAGAGGGCGGUCGGCCACACUGACACUGACACACGGGUCAGACUCCUACGGGAGGCAGCAGUCGGGAAUUUUGGGCAAUGGGCGAAAGCCUGACCCAGCAACGCCGCGUGAAGGAUGAAAUCCCUCGGGAUAGU